rnacentral:lncRNA from 1 species
AUGGAGCACUUUAUAGUCUACAAAGCCCUGUCACAUGCACCAACUCCUUUCACCCUCAGGAGCCCACCUGAGGUGAGCAUAGCAGUAAUAACAUUUUCACUUUCCCGUGAAGGCACUGAAGAUCGUAGAGGCUGCAGUUCUCUGAGGUCACAAGGAUAUCAUGUGGCCGAACUGAGACUAGAAACCGGGUUUUCUGAAAAGAGACAGUGGUCUUCCAGUUUGAAAAUCAUCACAAAAAAUAGAAGUCUACAGCUAUUUCAGAAAUUUUAAAAGCUUGUUAGAAGUCUCUAACGCCCACUGCCUCUUUGUAAUUAUGUGAGAUCAGUUGAGAGACUUGAUUGUAUUUAUAGCCAUGUGUGCAGCUGAUCUAAGAAAACACCGGACUCCACCAGAAGACAGAUCUUAGGCCUUCACGGGGUAACUUACACAAAGAGAAGCCCGACAGCAAAUCCUGCAGAGCUCAGAUUUCCUCUGAUAGAAUUCAGCUCUAGACAUAAAUUACAUGGUGCUUACAAGGCAAAUGAAACACAAUCUAUCAAGGUGGAAUCACCAAGCUUGCACCUCGCAGCCAAAAUGGAUGUGAUUGAAACAAGUUUCUUUGUAGAGUCUCAUUUCGGAUUCUGACAUUUUCUUAGAGUUUGUUUAAAAGUUUUCUGAAGUAACUGAAGAGUAAUUGUAUUUUUUGGCAACAUGGAAUCCCUAGGAAAGCACUUAAAAUGCAGCAACUGCUGGCAUAGAAGAGGAAACUUUGCUUGAUUGUAGAUUUUCUGCCAGAGAUUUAAAAGUAUACUGAAAAAUUGCAACUGAAUUAUCUGACUUUAUGCAAAUAACACUUUCUUUGCCUUCAACACAGAAUGUAGUUAAUUUACCAGUCUGCCAACAAUUCUUGACCAGCCUAUUCUCAGAAUAAAUAAUAAAAGAUUUGAAGAAAAUCAGUGAUGAGUAAUAAAAAUGCGAAGUUUUCAGAAAAUAAGUGAAAGGAUAAAACUAGAAGGAUCUCCUUUAUAUAUAUAUUAGUCAAGUCCAAAAGUCAUGGUGAUAGAAAGCUAAGCUCAACUGCUCUACUUGGUUUGUCUCCUUGUUUACUUGGUUUGUUUUGUGUUUAAUUUUUCCUGAUGGACUAUUUGAUUGUUUUUUACUUUGUAUGGGUUUUUAAUUCUACAAGUAAUACAUGUAUAUAUUCUUUUCAAAAAUAAACAGAACAUUAAUUUGAAAGGUAAUGUCUCCAUUGA